UGGGGAAUAUUGGACAAUGGGCGCAAGCCUGAUCCAGCCAUGCCGCGUGAGUGAAGAAGGCCUUCGGGUUGUAAAGCUCUUUCGGCGGGGACGAAACGGUCCGGGCUAACACCACGGACUAAUGACGGUACUCGCAGAAGAAGCACCGGCUAACUACGUGCCAGCAGCCGCGGUAAUACGUAGGGUGCAGGCGUUAAUCGGAAUUACUGGGCGUAAAGCGUGCGCAGGCGGCUCCUUAAGUCAGAUGUGAAAGCCCCGGGCUUAACCUGGGAACUGCGUUUGAAACUGGGGAGCUAGAGUGUGGAAGAGGGGGGUGGAAUUCCAGGUGUAGCAGUGAAAUGCGUAGAGAUCUGGAGGAACACCGAUGGCGAAGGCAGCCCCCUGGGCUAACACUGACGCUCAUGCACGAAAGCGUGGGGAGCAAACAGGAUUAGAUACCCUGGUAGUCCACGCCCUAAACUAUGUCAACUGGUUGUCGGGGAAGCAAUUCCUUGGUAACGAAGCUAACGCGUGAAGUUGACCGCCUGGGGAGUACGGCCGCAAGGUUA
rnacentral:rRNA from 1 species